UUGUUGGGUUUGCCAAACUAACGCCCUGAGGGGCCCCUUGGAGGGUAAAGAAUACUCGAGGCUUCUUCUUUUUCUCUCUGAUGGUGACUUCUUCUUCGAAAACCAGAUCCACCGGCCCGGUGCACCGAUCACAGUCGCCGGGCGGACGGUUCUGUAACUCCCCGGCGCUGUCGUCUUUUACGUCGGCGUUUGCUUCAUCCACUAGCUUAAACUUUUACUCGCAUUCUUCUACUUUCCGUUCCGUUGAUCACCGCGAUUUCCGCAGCCACCAUCAUCAUCGUCGAUGCACCUCCCCUAGCCGUGUUAAUGUUUUUUCGUCUCCUUCUCUUACUUCUUCUGUCCGUUUUUUCGUUGAUAACCGUUCGAUUUCUCCGAAUCGGUCCGUUAUUGUUUCGAGGAAAAAUCAUCCGGCGUCUAAUGUUAAGAGGACCUGUAUGUGCUCUCCGACGACGCAUCCAGGAUCGUUCCGGUGUAGUUUUCACAAAAACGUCUCGAGUAGCGGCGGCCAUAGCCAGACGGUGUCGUUUCCUUCAAUCAGGUUAAAUAUGCGGAGAUCGGCUAUGGCCAACUCGCUCGUUCGAAUCGGCGGUGUGGAAGGAGAGUUGGUGAAGCGAGCAUUGACUACUUUGAUUCGGCCUUCGUCGCACCAGCAGAGGAGGAUAGCGGCAUUUAUACCUAGAUCAAGUCGGCUCGCUGUCAUGUCCAAGGUUGACGAUGCUUGAAUUUACAGCAGAAGAUACGGUGAUGCCUAAAACUUUAUGAUCUCAGGUUCGUUGAAGAGCAUCAAUUUGUGAACGGUUCUGGUUUAGAAUUAUAGCCGAAAAGAAAACACACCACACGAAGUUGCAUAAUCGUUCAAAGCAGUAUCUGUAGUGAAAUUCAUUAGAUUCAGAAUUUGUGACUCGGAAGCAGGACUACUGAGUCGACUGGCCGAGUGUUGUUCGCAGGCUUCGUGGUUUUUUGGCAGAGGAUUGAAGAAGAAGAAGAAAAAAAAAAACGAACGAACUUACACCUUUGUACAUACAACAUUGUUUGCUGUGGAAGGAGAAAUUCAGACAUUUUUACUUCGAAUUGAAACCAAACGAAAGCAAAACAAAAUUCGAAGAUUAAUUUCAACAACCUGCAACCGGCAUCAAUUUGAAAAUGAUUUAUAACACCGUUGGAUGAUGAGAAUUGUGACCUGCUCAAUUCCGUUCUAUGUGCAGCCUUGGGCUUCCGUGUGUGCCGCCAUCGUGAUCUGCUCCGAUGAUCGUGAUUUUCGUCCACGUCGUUUCACGUGGUUCCGCUUAAUCCGUCCCGUUCAUUCCGGUGCCAGAAAAGAAACAGAGAAAUGGGUUUGGGCAUCAAUUGUUCAUCUUCAGUAGUUCUCCUUCCUCGAGCUCCCGAUUCGAAUUCCUUUGAUUCUUCGAAAGUUGCUCGAUUGUCUGCGAAGGACGAUAGAGGAACGUGGAGAAUCAGAAGUCGAUGCGCUUUAGGUUUAGCGAGCUUGAUUCUCGCAAUCGAGUUCGGUGACGUCUCCGUCGCCGUUGAAACUCAGGCUCUCGAAUCGCCGCCGCAAGUUGUAGAUUCGAGGCGUGUAAAGAUCUCGAGAUGGAGCGACAAAAGAAAAUGCGCUCAAUGGCGAGCCAAUUCGCUCGAGAUUAUCGUGCCUGAGAACCUUCCGAGGCCGUCGCAGCGCCGGAAGUGGGAGACAAUAGCAUUUACGGAUGUGGAGAACGCACCGGCAGUUCAAGUAAUUUCUUCCAAAUUUGGCUCCAAGUACUGUUUCUCUUUAUAAAUAUCUAUUGCCUCGCCUAGACUCAAUUGUAGAUACUAGCUUCUAAGUCGAUUUUAUCAAUCACUUCAAUGGCUAUUCGAUGACUGC